UCUCAGUGUGUGGGACUCUUUGUUAUUGAGUUGAGGUGGAGGCUCAGCUUCCUGCUGAACUCCAGUGCCAUCAGGGCUGCACAGAUGACACUAGCUCUGCCUCAGACUGUCUUGGUAAGUCUUUUGCAUGCUGGGUGGGUGUGGGGGCUCAGCUUGCCUCUGGACCCCAUUGAUACUACAUUGCCAAGGGAACCUUAACAUUAUUUCCUUUUGUCAGGCAGGGGAUGGAGAACAGCUUCCUACUUUGUCUGUUGCUACCACUCCAAAGUGAAAAUCAUAAUGCCUACUUUUGCCAGAUGGGAAAUAGAAGAUGAGCUCCUUCGUUGGUGCCAGUAAUACCAGCAGGCAAGAACAUCAAAGCAUGGCUGCUUCUGUUCAGUGGAUAUGAAGUAGAUAAUCUGCUCCCCGAUGGACUCCACUGGAACCAUCCUGAUAUUUCACUGCAGCUGCUGGUCCUUACUGGAGGCUUCCGCAGCACUCUCUCCAGAGCAUAUGGGAAGAAAUUGAAGACCCAAGGAACUCAUCAUUGUGUUAUUCCCCACACCACAGGAUUUUUGUGCUUUCAAUGUGGUGAAGUUGAACACUAUAAGUGAGAGAUUGAAGAAAGCACAAGAAAGGUAUUGUAGAAAAAUUCAAACAAGUCAAUCUAUUUUUACAGGCACAAGCAGCAUCUGAAGAAUACAGAGAACUUCACUGAGAAGUCAGAUGGAACUCAGAAUGAAAGAUCUUGAAUCUGAAGUCUCCAACAGGAAAACUUCUUGAGAAGACUUUCAUUAUACUGAAUUGGAAAAAUACAAGCAUAUCUAUCAAUUAGAAUUGGAAGCUAGAAAAUACUUGUCAAACAAAAUUAAACAUCUUCGCAGAACUACUGAGAGACUAGCAGCAUUCAGUAGCAAUCUUUUUGUGGAGACACAGGAGACCAGAACUUUCUUUACCACUCAUGGACAGUCCUAUAGUCACCUCUUGGUGGAAAACUUAAUAAUGGUUUAGGUCUUCACAGAGAAUUUACUUGAAAAGAAUACUCAACAGUCUCUUUUUCCUGCCCAUGGACUUCACAUACCAGCGUGAAGAAAAACUUGAGUAAGGUGCUGCUGGAUACUCUCUUGUGGAAGAGCUUCUUCUCUAGAAUUCACUGAUGAGUCAAAUCUAAAUGAAGACAUCAUGGCAAUAUGUGCCAGUUUUUUUUUAAAAAUGUACAAUGAAAGAUUUUUAAGUAGAUCUUGCAAAUGAAAGCCAGCUUUACAUCCUCGGACUGCCAGAAUGGCAGCUGUUUAUAAUUUUAAUU